rnacentral:rRNA from 1 species
UCCUACGGGACGCAGCAGUAGGGAAUUUUCGUCAAUGGGCGCAAGCCUGAACGAGCAAUGCCGCGUGAACGAGGAAGGUCUUCGGAUCGUAAAGUUCUGUUGCAGGGGAAAAAGAGCGGAGAGAGGAAAUGGUCUCCGAUUGAUAUUACCCUUCGAGGAAGUCACGGCUAACUACGUGCCAGCAGCCGCGGUAAUACGUAGGUGGCGAGCGUUAUCCGGAGUGAUUGGGCGUAAAGGGUGCGUAGGCGGCCUGCUAAGUCUAGAGUGAAAGGUACCGGCUCAACCGGUACAGGCUCUGGAAACUG